ACGGGUUACGUCAAUCAUCUUGUAAAGUGCAAACAAUGAAAGAAUCCCGGAAUAUACAGCAUUAAAAUUAAUAAAAUUCUCCUAAAAUUACAUAAAAUAAUUGGAAAAACCUAAAGAUAUAGUUCAAGGAGUACCGUAAUUCGAUCAGAUUGAUUGCUAGCCAGAAUAACCAUGGUGGAAUUCGGAAAACUAAGUUUCCGAACAGGAAUACGAAAGGAGGUAACCCAAGUUGAACGCAAAAUGAUCACUCGACUGCCAAGUGGUUAAGCAGAAUGAGCUGCAAUUUAUUUCCCAAAAUCACAUCUGCUAAAAAAAUGGCUUUGCUCCAUUUUCAUUUGUGGGAGAUUUUGUUUUGUUAACAAAUAGCUGCCAUCAGCGAGACGUGAUCACUACAUCAAGGAGACACAAUUAGGAAAUACGACGUAGGCGUCGAAUCUGGUUAAGGCCCAGUAGGCUCGUGUUCUUCCCUUACUCUCACUGAGUGUAAGGGCCACCCCACAUCUGGCGUCUUUCGGGCGUCGGCGUCGGUCAGCGCUAUGGAAAAUGACGUCGCUGCGCAGUUGCGUCGACGUUGCGUCGACGU